GUGCUCCUCUCUUUAUUUGAAAUUUUGGUAAAUUUUCGGAAUUCUCUAUUUUAUUAAUUUAUUGUCAUUACAUAUUUUAUGUAAAAAUGUCUGUACCAGGUCAGGAAUAUGACAGUUGCUGUCCAUUCGCUCGAUGUGUUUUAUCAUUUAAUUUUGCAUUUGAUUAGGGAAUUUCCUUUUUGAAUUUUCCUCGAAGUUCAGUUUUUUUUAGUGAUUCUACUAUUUACCCGUACUUUCCUUUGAACAAAACUAUAACAAAACAAUAUUUAAAAAUCUUAUAAAAUCCUUGUUACAUUUUUAUAGUUUUUGACAGAAAAUAGUGCCAUUGGUAAACGCAAGAAAAUCGAGAGAGAGAACAAUAUCC
rnacentral:lncRNA from 1 species